rnacentral:misc_RNA from 1 species
GUUCAAUCAAGCCAAAAAACAAAUCCCCUGAUGGUUCAUACUCCUAAGGCAUAAAGCAGUGCAACGGAAGCUCCUACAGUGAUUGUCCAGAGAUAUAUGGUUUGAGACAAAGUAUUAGCACCACUGCAUUGGUCAUUAGAACCACUGAAGCAUCCAGGUCUACUUACCUUAGGCUCAACUCCACCUGUGGAAAAGCUACUCUUUGGUUUGCCAUUACUGAAGAGUACACACCAGAAAUAGGGGCCACCACCACCGGAGCCACUCACAGCAGCACCAACCUCAGUGUGAUUCUUGCUAUAGAGAAUAUCCAAACUCUUGGUAUUUCUUAUAAGAAUAUCAUUGAAUGCUUCAGAAGGUUCCGCAUACUUAGAUUGACAUGCGAGAAAUCUUCCAGUUAUUUGAGCAAGCGAUGAUGCCUGCACACCACAGUUGGGGGCAAAUUCUUG